CACGUUAUCUUUACCGGCGAUGUGGAC
rnacentral:sRNA from 1 species